AUUGAACGCUGGCGGCAGGCCUAACACAUGCAAGUCGAGCGGAUGAAGAGAGCUUGCUCUCUGAUUCAGCGGCGGACGGGUGAGUAAUGCCUAGGAAUCUGCCUGGUAGUGGGGGACAACGUUUCGAAAGGAACGCUAAUACCGCAUACGUCCUACGGGAGAAAGCAGGGGACCUUCGGGCCGUGCGCUAUCAGAUGAGCCUAGGUCGGAUUAGCUAGUAGGUGGGGUAAAGGCUCACCUAGGCGACGAUCCGUAACUGGUCUGAGAGGAUGAUCAGUCACACUGGAACUGAGACACGGUCCAGACUCCUACGGGAGGCAGCAGUGGGGAAUAUUGGACAAUGGGCGAAAGCCUGAUCCAGCCAUGCCGCGUGUGUGAAGAAGGUCUUCGGAUUGUAAAGCACUUUAAGUUGGGAGGAAGGGCAGUAAGCUAAUACCUUGCUGUUUUGACGUUACCAACAGAAUAAGCACCGGCUAACUUCGUGCCAGCCGCCGCCGUAACAC
rnacentral:rRNA from 1 species